rnacentral:lncRNA from 1 species
GAGGUACCAUAGCACUUUAUCGUCUGUUGAAUGAAGUUAGAACACGAGACCAUGCCUUGAAUUCUGACCAUUUAUCUGUGUUGCAGCUGGUGAUGGGAACAAUGAGAGAUCUGCACAAGUUUUACCCUGAAAUCAUACCCAGAAGUCAACUGUAUGAAAUUAAGGGAUCACCUAUCGAUAAGGUUUUCUAUUUAGUUCCAUCAUGACCUCUCCAUGGCAGUUUUUGGAUGCAAUUCUUUUAAGAUUUCGAAGCUGAUCAUCUAAAUGCAUGCUCAAACAGGUUCUGAAAUAUUUUUGUGAGGCUUUGAGAUCAAUUGGGGAUUCAUGGAUGAUGAAUCAAGAGUGGAUGGACAAAGCUACAUACAACAUGUACAAUAACAGUGAUCAAAGGAUCAGUUCGGAACAAGCAGGUAUGAUACAACUUUUCCAGAAUUUAAUCAGCAGUAUAUUUUUAUCCACGUUUUCGGAUCUUGUAAGAAAAAAAAAAUGGAACAAGUUGAUCGAAAGAAUUUCGGAAAGAGUGGAUUUUACUGAAGAGCUUGUUUUUUUCCAUUUAAUAUCUCCUUGUACAACUAGUCUGAAGUUUCAUGAUUGAAGGUGAUUACUUCUCUAUAUUUUUUUCCUUUUUUUUUCUGAAUUUUUAGUUGAAAUUGCUUCGGCAACACUCACCUGCAUGAUUAAGAUAGCAAGAGAAAUGUUUGAUGUGAUGGAUGAAUAUGAGCCAAAUAAAGACAUUCAACGAUCCAACGCCUUCAGCAAAAUGUUGAUGGAAUCCUCUUCAGACAAC